CAUCACUUGCACAGCGAGGGGGCUCCGCCAGCUAGCUGAGUGAAGCAAGGCAUUUUCCAAGAGAAGUAACCAGCCAGAGGAAACGGGUCGAGAUGCACGUUUUGAAUUCAGACAGAUGAUCAGUGGUUGCUCCCCACGCACGGCCCACCGUGGCCGGCCACCCCGUAGGCCUUGUGGGCGGCACAGAUAGUGGCUGUUUCAAAUAAUAGAGCACCGUGAAUGUGGUGAAAACGCAACUCAAAAAUCGGGCCAACCAGGGCCCCGAUUCCAUUCAGAAUUGAAGACUCUUGUGGGUGGGGAUGCCAAGGUGCUCUCCUUUUAGAAGAGACAUAUUUCCAGCUCCCGGGGCCUCUGAGAGAUUCCAGAAUCGGGCACAGGUUUUUAGACUGCGGAAAUGGCAACCUACUCCAGUAUUCUUGCCUGGGAAAUCCCACAGACCGAGGAGCCUGGCGGGCUACAGUCCAUGCGGACUCAAAGAGUUGGACACAAGUGAACGACUAAGCAUCCUGGAGGGGUUGACAAACUAAGCAGCCACAGCACUGGGCUCUGACCACAGGUCGCAAGGCUUCCUGGCUGUUGGUGGAGAAGGUUCUCUGGGGGAGAUGCUGUCAGUCCCUCGCGCCUGGCUGCCUCUGCAAUAGAACAUUCCCAGCCCGGACGUGAAGGCUUCCUCACCACUGCCCUCUGCGUCUGUACGAGAACGUGGUCCACAGAUGCCCUGCAAGACAGCAGCAAGCCCAGGUCCUACCUCCAGUGUGGAUGGGGGGAGAGAGAAAGGUAAGAGACACUCUUUCCUUAAAAGAGAAAGACGACCUAGAGCGAAGGUGCUACAAAAAGGCACAAACUCUGCUUCUGUCUCUUGUCAACGGACUCUAGACAAAGGGUCCAAACCCCCUGAGUUUCACCGUGUGCGCUUAUAAAGACAUAUGAUGACAUGUAACAUAUAACACUGCGAGGACUGGGCUUCUCUGGUGAUUCAGUGCGAAACAAUCCUCCUGCCGAUGCAGGAGACACAGGUUUGAUCUCUGGUCCAGGAAGAUCCCACGUGCAGCAGAGCAACCAAGCCCGUGCACCACAGCUACUGACCCUGUGCUCUAGAGCCCGGGAGUCACAGCUACUGAGCCUGUGCUCCAGGGCCCGGGAGUCACAGCUACUGAGUGUGUGCUCCAGGGCCCAGGAGUCACAGCUACUGAGCCCAGCUCAUGCAACCACUAAAAAGCUCGCAUGCUCUAGAGUCUGUGCUCUGCAACGAGAGAUGCCACUGCGAUGAGAAACCUGCACACGGCAACUGGAGAGUCGCCCCUGCUCGCCGCAACUAGAGAAAAGCCCAUGCAGCAACGAAGACUCAGUGCAGCCUAAAUAAAUAAGCACAAUUAUUAUAAAGAAAAGACUGCGAGACCCACCACUUUAUUAGUGAUGACGAGAAAACACCACAUUUGCUGCUACUAUUAAGGAUGGUUUUAUUCGAAAAACAUCUGAAUUUCAAAUUUCAAAAUUAAAACCCAC
ensembl:lncRNA